UACAGAGGGUGCAAGCGUUUAAUCGGAAUUACUGGGCGUAAAGCGUGCGUAGACGGUUAAGUAAGUCGGAUGUGAAAGCCCGGGCUCAACCCGGGAAUUGCAUUCGAGACUGCGUAGCUAGGGUGCGGAAGAGGGAAGCGAAUUUCCGGUGUAGCGGUGGAAAUGCAGUAGAUAUCAGGAGGAACACCGGUGGCGAAGGCGGGAUCUCUGGGC
rnacentral:rRNA from 1 species